GGAGCAGCAGGGCCUUUAUGUUGC
rnacentral:siRNA from 1 species